CUGUUCAAUUUUGGUUUACCGUGUAUGCCCAACAGUUUGUUCGUUUUAUCGUUGUGGCGUUUAGAGACACCUAGUGGUAGGAAUCGGUAUGUCCGCUCGAGUACUAAAACGAUAACCUUUAAAAAGCACGUACAUUGCAUACCCGCAGGCGGAAUUCUUUAUGCGCUUUUCUUUCGUACUCGAAUGAUUUGGAAAUUCGAGAAGAAGUGCUAGACUAUGGAAAGACAACCCGAAACCGGAAACCCUUUUUCCAGCCAAUCAAAAUUCACUAUAAAUUUCAAAAGAAAAACCGGAAACCAUAUUUGAACCAAUCAGAAAUCAGGAAAGUAGACAGUACUGAUCAGUGGGCUGAACCUAUAAAAGGGGUUGGGGCACUCAUAUCAAACUCUCUUUACUCUGGUGGAAACCGUUGUUCAAGGUGGUUGAUUUGAAAACGUAAAAGUGUUAGUUGUUGAAUCUUAAAACGGUUAAUUGAUUUUUUGAAUAGUUUAUUCGGAAGUGGUUCAAUAACGUCAAAAAGAGUGUGAAGUAAAAUCGGCCGUACUUAAAGGUGGCUAAACCCAUUCAACGUGGGUGUUUGUCUGGAGCCCAAAGUACGUGGCCGUCCCACGCUCGGUCGUCGCUAACUGGCAAGCAGCUGUCCACCACCCACGAUUCCGGGACAAUUUUCCCGAAGAAUCUGCUGUGCGGCCUCUUAGAAUACGGCGAUUCCCGAACCGCUCCGAGGAACAGAAGUGCGUCGACGCCACGUGAAGCCAUCCUUCGUUGGAACCCCAAGCCAGCUGGCCAGCAAGUAAGCCCGUUUUAGUUUUGUGCACUCGAAGAAGAA